UUUUAGAGGGUGCAUGUAAGUUUUCUCUUUACAAGUGUAUCACUGUUAUUGUUUCUUUUUUUACGCAUAGAUGGUCCAGGAGGUUCUGGAGAAGAGUUAAAUGGGAGAGGAAAUAAUGGAGGAGUAUAGUAGAGCACCUUGACACACUGUACAAGAAGGCAUCUUCUGAAUAUCCUGGUCCAUGGAAAGAUACCAGUACGUAGUCAAAGAAAAAGAUAUGCACUCGGCAUUGUGACUGUUUCCUAAUCUCAGGGAUCCUUACUCCACCAAUGGCUAUGAACACUUCUACGAUGCUGGAAGAGGGACAGGCUAUCUGGCAUGGCGCCUAAAGCAACGAGUGUCGCAGCGUUUGGUCAAGAACAGCUCGGGAGCCUUGGAAUACAUGAACACCAUGAGCUUUUUAAGGAGGUAGACUUUCUAAUGAGGAGACACAGCACUCAAAAAAUCCUCCAUAGAAAUGCAUGGGGUUAGUUUGUAACGUAUGGUGUUGUCUACACACAUCACACCCCCCUCCGUGGCAAAACGUGGACAUGUGAAUACA